UAUUAUUAAUUACUAAUAUUUUGGGGGAUAAGCUCCAAAAUAUAUCUUAUAAUUUUAUUUUGUGCAAAAAUUUUGUAGGCUUAGAAUUAGCCAUCUAACGAAGGAUGUUAUAAUUUAAUUUUUUAAAAGUAAAAUUUUCGACAAAUUUAAGUUUUAUAUCAGAAUGGUUUUUUUAAUUAAAAAAAAAUUGUAAUAAUGAUAAAAUUAGUAUAUAAAUUGUUUAAAUUAUUUUAAAAUGUGAGGUUACAUUAAGGAAUUAGGCAAAUUAAUACUCGCCUGUUUAACAAAAACAUGUCUUCUUGAUAAUAAUUUGAAGUCUGACCUGCCCACUGAAUUUAAAAUUUAAAGGGCCGCGGUAUUUUGACCGUGCAAAGGUAGCAUAAUCAUUAGUCUUUUAAUUGAAGGCUAGAAUGAAUGGUUGGACGAGGUAUUGACUGUCUCAGUGUAAUUGGGAAUAGAAUUUAACUUUUAAGUCAAAAGGCUUAAAUUUAUUUAGAGGACGAGAAGACCCUAUAGAGCUUUAUACUUAAAUUUUAUUAUUUGUUUAGAAUAAUUUUUAUAAUAAUUGGUCAAGUAUUUUGUUGGGGUGACAGGAAGAUAAAUAAAACUCUUUUUAGUUUGUUUACAUUGAUAUAUGAAUUGUUGAUCCAUUAUUAUUGAUUAUAAGACUAAGUUACCUUAGGGAUAACAGCGUAAUCUUUUUCGAGAGUUCUUAUCGACAAAAAGGGUUGCGACCUCGAUGUUGGAUUAAGGGUAAUUUUGGGUGUAGAUGUUCAAAGUUUAGGUCUGUUCGACCUUUAAAUCCUUACAUGAUCUGAGUUCAGACCGGUGUAAGCCAGGUCGGUUUCUAUCCUUAAUUUAAAAAUGAUGUUUUAGUACGAAAGGACCAAGCAUUGGGAAAAUUUUUUCUUAAUUAUUGAUUAAUAUUAAUUGU
rnacentral:rRNA from 1 species